GAAAUGCGAUACGUAAUGUGAAUUGCAGAAUUCAGUGAAUCAUCAAAUCCUUGAACGCAACUUGCGCUCGUGAGUCCUCUCACGAGCAUGCCUGUUUGAGUGUCGGUUUCCAAUCAUCACCCAUCCCACCCGUGCGGUCGGAUCGGCGUGGAAGCGAAUGGGAGUUGGACGGCCUACGGCCGCUCAUCUCUUGAAACGAACGGUGCUCUGUGCGGCAGCCGGUUGUGAGGCGUCUUGCGAGACUCUCGACCCUUCCCGUCCGUUACGACGAGCCUGGUGGAUCAAUGAGUU
rnacentral:misc_RNA from 1 species